rnacentral:rRNA from 1 species
GAUGAACGCUGGCGGCGUGCCUAACACAUGCAAGUCGAACGAAGCAUCUCNCCCGAAGAAGAGGAGAGCUUGCUCAAAUCGGAAUCAAUUNAGAUGACUUAGUGGCGGACGGGUGAGUAACGCGUGGGUAACCUGCCGUAUACAGGGGGAUAACAGUUAGAAAUGACUGCUAAUACCGCAUAAGCGCACGGUAUCGCAUGAUACAGUGUGAAAAGCCGAGACGGUAUACGAUGGACCCGCGUCUGAUUAGCCAGUUGGCAGGGUAACGGCCUACCAAAGCAACGAUCAGUAGCCGGCCUGAGAGGGUGAACGGCCACAUUGGGACUGAGACACGGCCCAAACUCCUACGGGAGGCAGCAGUGGGGGAUAUUGCACAAUGGGGGAAACCCUGAUGCAGCGACGCCGCGUGAGCGAAGAAGUAUUUCGGUAUGUAAAGCUCU